CACGUGGUCUCGGAGUACCGACAGAGGGGUUGGCCCUCAGCAGCUAAGGAGAGGAUGGGUGUGCAAGUCCUGUAGUAUGCCGGCUGACGACGUAAAAGCUGGGUUAUGCCCUGUAAACCACCCACAUGUAGUGCACAUAUACGUCUACAUGGGUGUUUUCGCCAGUGAAUGAUUGGAGUUGAAUAUAAGAAAAUGCCCGAAACUUCCGCUGACACGAAUACCCCCUUCCACUUCUCUACUUGUGAAGACAGUCAGUUACAUGAAGGCCCUCGGCAAGAUUUACAACAUGCAGUAGAAGCUCGUUUGUUCAUGCCUCCAACCAGCUCGAAAUCUCGGAAACUACGCAGCAAUACAACUAAUAAUCGUCUUCUACCUCACCCGUGGUUUGCUACUGGAUUACAUUUACCAAGCUGAUAGCGUCUUUGACGGCAGAGAACAUUAAAUGCAGAGGAAUAACGUUAAAUAUAUAUGUCGUGUUUUGUUCUACACGGUCUUUGUAUUUCAAAAUGGUGGUACGUAAGGCACCAGGCCUGCGAGGGAGCUGUGCAGCUUGCUGGCGUGUACGACGGCGUCCUUGCUAGGCUUGCAGGCAUAGGGUGUUUUUUGUGUCGUUCUUUUCUGUACUGCUGUCCUGAAAUUAAAUUUGAGGUACAAAAAUGCACAAGCGAUUAAAUAGUCUCUCGUCAUUAAUAUAUACUAAUUGCUGAUAAUCGUUUCCCCCAAAUGUUCUUUUUGUUCAAAAUAAUUAUCAACGUGUUUCAACAGGUUGAUUCUUGGAGUAUAGUUGUACACUUUAUCUGUUUUUUUACGUGAAACAGGUAAAAUAGCCUAUAUUUGGUGGUAAUACGUAUUUUAAUGUGCUGUUAACCAAGAAGAUAAUUAUACGUGAACAUAAUGAGUGCAAAAUUAACAUGUUAAAUGAUGAUAAGGAACCACGUUUUCCUUGUUCUUUUAUAAACGCUCACGUUUAGCUAAGUCUAUAUAGGAAAAUAAUGUGUUUUCGUAAUUUAAAUAAGUUAUAAGCUCGAGGGAAAGGAGAUACUUCAUGUUUUAUCAAAUGAAAACUCUUUACCUAAUGUAUGUGUAAAGCUAUUUUUCCUUGGUCCAUGUAAAAAAGAUGAGAAUUGCAAA